UAUACAACAAUUAUUGGUUUUCAACGCAUUGAAUAUGAUUUCGCGUCAUUACGAGAGAAUUGCGUUUUCGGAGUUGUUUAAUGUGUCAUAUUAAAAGAAAAUUAAUUUCGUUAUUUUCUCCGUUUUGAAAGGAAACGUUUCCAUAUCCGUGUCUGCCAUAUCGCUCUACUUGUAACAAACGCUCAACACCAACGCAGAGACUAAAUGAACAUUCAACAUCAACAGAUAUUAGAGGUGCAAACUUCAUGUCAACAACUACAUUAGGUGUAAAAUAUUCUGUGAGAACUUCAUUGUUUCUACGUAAAUGUUCCAAACUUUUGCUAACAUUUGAUCAUUUGACAGACACCGGCAAGCUGCAAGUGGACCGUGAGAAGUGUGGUAGAUCGCUUACCACACCGAUGCCGAUAGAAGUCUACCUUAUUCGCGACGUGGGUUAAUUAAGUCCAGAUGCCAAAAUGAGUGUACUUGGGUACACUUAUUCCAUAAGGAAGUUGUUGACAAUUCCACGGACUCGGCGUGACGUGUACAUCGUUUCAUUGUGACCGAUGAACAUUUUGUUCAUGGGGUCGGUAGCAACCAAACACCGGCAACGCGUGACAAACGUGUUAGGUGGAACGGUUUCCAACAAGAACAUUUCAUCAGCAACGUCCACGGCUGCUUGUUGAACUGCGACCAAUGGAAACAAACACGUGCGUACCGUAUCCGUUUAGUGAAUUCAAUCGAAAUCGGGUGGUAGCCGAUCUUUAGCCGAAUUUAGUCUCCGACAAUAGUCGAAUAGUUCGGCGGAAGCUGUCCGAAAAAUAUUCAGCCGAUAUCGGGUGUAGCCUGUGACCGUAGUACUCACUAUUGUGCCAUACGUGCUCAACAGGUCGUACACAAUCACAAGCUCGUGUCGUCAGACGCCAUUUUGCUGAGACUUACGAUACGCGUGACAAGUCUUGCAACGAGUUCCAACGGUUGUUUAGCGCUUACCGCCGCCAUGGUAAUGGUGUACACCGCGGGCGGG